CCCGGGUUGUACCUCGGGCCGUCUCUCUUCCCUCACACCUCAGCCCGAACUCGACGCACCCCGGCCCCCCCACACCUCAGCAAUAAUCUAUCAUCACUCAUGGAAUGCACUUACCUAUCAAAAGCGUAAAUGGAUUAAGCCAACAAAUACUUCCCAGAACUCCAAACUAAAUAAAAGACUCAGAAAACAUUGGGAGGCAGCACCAACUACCACCAACACCGACCAGUUCAGGAAUUUUCUGCCAAACAGCAUACAACUUGCUCAGCAAUAAAUCCACUUGCCCUUAUUACCAAUAUCCUAUCCUGUUUUACUUCCAAGGAAAAAAAAAAAGAAGAAGAAGAAGAAGAAGAAGAAACAAACAAACACAAUACAUCCCAAACCCACAGAGCAAGGACAUGGACAAUGUUUUUUUUGUUUGUUUGUUUGUUUGUUUGUUUUAUCUCACUGUUAAAACAAAUAAAACUAAAAAUCAGAACCCAAGAAAAUGUUUGCAGACUUUUGUCAGUUCUAGAGUCAUUUACAGACCAUCAUCAAUGCAGGUACCUUGUUGAGAAGGGUGAAACAUCCCCGCCUUGUAAGUGUAUCACAGUUGUGAAGAUAAAAUUCAUUUCCAAAUAUUUCCCUAAGAUUUUCAGAAGCCUGGACUGCCUUAGUGCAAAAUGCACUAAGACCCCAGCAUUUCAUCUAGCUGUCUAAAAUAUUAAAAUAAACUUUUCAUAUAUGCCAUAUUUGAAUACAUUCUUCUCUAAGUGCACUUUGGAGUGCUUGCCCCACAUUAGCAAUGGUAGUUAUGGUAUACUGCUAUUUACUGGUGCUCACGAGAAUGCCUGGAAGGAUUUCAUCUGAAGGUUUAGGUGACAUCCAAAGUUACUGGACGCUUCAGCAGCUGAAAUAGAAAUGCUGUUCAGCUCCCUGGCCGUCUUCUCUAGACCGUGCCUCUAACAAGAAGAGUACACUUGCACGCGUUGUUGAACUACAGUAGGACAGGACAGUGAUUAAAGUAAUGAAGCAGAGUGAAGUAUCUCUCUUGUAACAUGCAUUAAAUAUGGAAUGGAAUGUGAAGGGAAAUAAGAUGAAUUUUGUAUAGCUCACCUUAACUAAGUCGUGUCCCCGCAGAAAUUAAUUUGAAUACUAAAAGCAUGUAUAAACAUUGUCUGAGCUUACUCUCAGUGCCCUGUUCAAGCCAGAUGCACUGUCCUGGGUCUGUUAACCCUAGGUGUUUGAAUACAUUCUCCUAUUCAUCCAGCUGGCUGUCACUUUGUAUCUUGCAAGUGUUUAACAGCAAAUUCUAUGGAUGUUAAGUUACAUUUUAGCACCUUUCCAAACAUCUGCCAGCCAGCACACAAUGUUCCAGCCCGACCACACGCUUCUGAAUUUCACACUACUCCAGUGGGUUCCACUGUGUUCUAUUGCAUUAAGACUAGGGAGCACCACGUCUUUGCCAGCCCCUUGUUUUACUUUGGUUUGUAGUCCCCCAGAGCAGUGAAGGUCAGCAUGUUUGUUCCAGCAAGACUUAUUUUUCUUAAAAAAAAAAAAAAUAAUAAUAAAAAUAAAAAAGUACUCAUUUAUGUGGAUUUCACAUAGUAGUGGUAUCGACAACUGAUGAUUUCGUGAUUUUAUAUCCCUUGGGAUAUAAAAUAUCCAUUUUGCUCAAACACUGCUCCUAGAGGUGCUAUGUGUACGAGUUAUUGGAGCUGUUUGUGGUUUUGUUCAUUUGUUUGGUUUAGAUUGCUUUGAGUGGGGUUAAUUCAGUGGAGACCUACAUAGAUACAACCUGCUGCUUCUCCUGGAGAACGUUACGGUGUACCGCAUACCUUCAGCAGGAUCUCUCACCUCACUCUGCACAUUCAGAUCUCUUUCCUUUUCACAUCUGACGCUGAUGAUGACUGUGAAAACAUAUCUGUAACAGCGUACAAUAAAAACAUUCACAGUUCUACCAUCAGAAGAAAUAAAAAUGAAUGUAGUCCAACUUCCAGGAUUUUAAAUUAAGAACGUAAAGUGAAUUUCAUCACCAAAGUCUUCACAGAGUACUUGUUUCCUUAACUAGAUGUAACUAAAAUCUUACUGGAAGUCUUCCACGUUUAUAAGACACGUGAACGUAAUCCUGAGCAACACCGUAGAGAAGUGUUUGUAAAGCUACGCUUCAGAUUUCACCAGUUGGCAAUUUUCUCAUCUGCAUCAUUAACCCAUUUGGGCAUUUGUUACAUCACUACUCCCAUAUUUCCACUGCUGUCUUUGGUCACGUUGUCUCUGAGGUACAGAGCUUUUACAGGUUUAACAAACCUUUAUUUUUUUUUUCCUGCAGGGAAUGCAGCCGGGGUUGGAAGGGACCUGAAACUUGUAGCUCUGCGCAAGACCUCCUGAACUUCAAAUGCUGUCUCCAAGGGCGGUGUCCAAAUGCUUCUCCAACUCCAUCAGUCCGGGCCUGUGACUGUAGUCCCAGGGCUCUUGUUCUGCUGAGCUGGGUGCCAAAGUGCUUCAGUCCAGAGCUCAGAGAGCUGCAAGAUCCAGCAAGAAAGGCAUUCCAGCUUGGAUGGAAGGAAGAUCCGUCCAGGUUACUCCUAGGGAGUUUGUCUGAUCACUCUGAGUGACACAACCCAAGUCCUGUUUCUCCGAUGACUGUGUGGCAUCAGUCUUUCUGAGGUGCUGCUGGGGACAGCCUUGCAUCUUCCGCAUCCACUAGGAAAUGUGACCGAGGCUUUACCAGGCCUGGAGGAGGAAGGCGGAUGCCCUCUUCAGUGGUGCCUUGUGGCGCUGGAGCAGUUCUGAUAUGCUGAGAGUGCAGAAGGCAGUGCCUGACAAGUCAAAUCUG
ensembl:lncRNA